GGACCGCGGAUCAGACCCCGCUGCUUUUAAUGUUUUUGUUUUCUGAUUUCUAUUUUCUUAUUUAUUUUAUUUGAUCAUUCUUUAUUUUGUUUUCUUUUCCGCAUAUCCGGAACUUUGCACCGCGGGGACGGAGCGGAGGGGCCAAGAACAAGGAAUGCCUCAUCGCGCUGGGCUGCUGCAGCCUGGAGCCGCUGUCAUUAAACACCGGCUGUUGUUAAUGAAGGUGGCCGCGCGCAUCCACCUGCGCUGAGCUGCGGAGGUGGGGGGAGGAGGGGGGGAUGUCCCGGCAGGACCCCCCUCUGUCGGGGUUUGCGGCAGAGAUGGGGGCGAGAGCUGGGGAUGCGCUCAGAGCUGGCGGGUACUGCUGCCAAAAGGAGGGAGCAAAUGAAAGGAAAACUUCCCUGCUCCUCUGCCUCCCGCUUAUUCAUUUAUUUUAACCUUCGGUGGGGAAAAAAUCACAGAGCUUUUUUGCAUCCAAACACUUAUUGUUGGGUUUGAAGCCUUGGAAGUUCCGCCAAAGCGGCUGCCCGGGGUCUGGGAAAUGGCAGUUGACAAUUAAAAGACGCGUGUAAUAAAUGAUAGGUAAUGAAGUCAUCCCAAAAUAACUGUGUGUCAGAGAUGGGAGUUUCUGGUUUUACCUGUGGCUUUGCAGAGAUUUCUGCACAGAACGAUCAGAGCCUCAAUAAAUUAAUUUUGAAAUGCUAAUUGGCAAUAUGGAAGAAUAUCGAUUUUUAAGGUGAACUUUGUUGUUUUGUGUUCAAAUGCAUUUGCUCCAAGACCAGAACUCUGUCUGCUUUCACCCAGGCUUCUUUUCUUGCCAUAUUCCUAUACCCUAUGGGGGAGAAAGAGAUCCCCUUGAAUUGCUGCAGAGGGUGACAGUGAUUUCUGAAGAAUCCUCCAAAGAGUGAGCAAAGAGCACUGAAAACAGAUGCAGAAAGCUAUUUGCAUGGCUUUCUGUACCCUGGAAGAUUUAUCAACUCCUUACAUGCCUAGACUAAAGGAACCCCAUUUCUGCGGUCUUCCUUCAUGGAUAAUGCAUUCUGAGUCCUCUUCUCCAUCUUGCUGUUUGCUGCUGUGUGAUUUCCACAGUGACUACCGGUGUUUUGGAGGAUGGUGUUGAAGACUGCUUCAGCUGCACUUUUCUGGGGAGCAAGGAGGCAAUCCCCACCCAGAUCUUGCCUGCAAAAUUCUUGACUGCAGGAGGCGUUCUUUUCCUUCCUUUCUGGUGAUACUCCAUGUUGACUAACAGCUCAUUCCUAACAUAAUUACCAUUGGAACAGUACAGUUGGAAGGAACCCACAAAGAUCAUCGUGUCCCUGCUGCCUGACUGCUGGAGGGCUAACCAAAAGUGAAAGCACGUCAUUAGUAAGGGCAUUAUCCAAACUUCUUGAAUGCAGAAGCCUUGUAAGAUUGAACAGCCCCAAGUGUCUCAGCCUUUCUUAUAAGGGAGAUGCUCCAGACUCCUCGUCAUCUGUGUGGCUCUCUACUGGACUCUCUCCAGCAGUUCCCUGUCUUCCUUGAACUGGGAGCUCAAAAGCUGUUGUUUUCAAGAAAUUAAUGAGUUUGAAAAUGAAAAUAAAUUCCUCACUGAAUAUUUGUUACACUGUUGUCAGUUUUUCAGAAGCUUCAAUGUUCAGAUUCUUUAACAGUAGGGGAAAUCUUCAAAAAGCAAAUAGGUUUUUUAAAAGACAGAUAUAUUUGGAAAAUUUAUGUCUUAUUUUUUCUUUUUCUUUUUCUUUUUUUUCCCUUUUUUUCUUUUCUUGUAGUGCCAUGGGAAAUAGCGGGAGGCAAUAUGAGAUGUUUUAGCUAUAAAUGUCUGUCUUAUGAACAUCUUACUGAAGAUGCUAUGAGCUUCUUAGACAUAUAGACUAAGAAGUGCCAUCCAGAGGAGGUCCAUGUGCAAAAUUUAGCAUUCUAAUUUCUGAUCUACAUGUAAAUAUUCCCUGGAAAAUGUAUAUACAUUACAAUAAUUUGUAAAAGCAGGCUUGUUGUGUGUGGCAGAUUUACUGUGGAUACUACUGUUUCUCUGAAAUAGUGCUACAACUGAAAACGCAACAUCAAAAUUGAAGCAGAAGACGGCUAGCAUUUGGGUCCCAAACUGAUUUGAAAGUGUCACAUGGUCUGGAAUGUCUUUUUCAGUGUUUUUUGUUUUUUUUUUCCACUGUGCUACUGGAUCUUCUAGUACAGCAGCAAACUGAUCUACUUGCGCGAAUAGUUUCAAAGUCACAGGGUUUUAGAAAGCACCAAUGAUACCUAGUAUUGUUGCUGUAAUUUCAGAAAUGUUAUAAGUCAGGGUUUUUCUUCAUCAUUAAAACAUGUUAUGUUGUUAAGUUAGAAGAAUACUACAGGAUGUGGAUCCUGUUGUUUGGAAAACAAGGAAUUGAGGUGUGAGAAAUUAAUGGAAAUUCACAUUUACAGGAAAAAAAAAAAAGCCUAGUUUCUGGAAUGGUACUGGAAAUUGUUUGCUGAAUGGUUGUUAAGAAGUUUAAUGUUUCCUGUAUGUUAGUCUGUCUUUAGACCUGAAAAUAAUGUUGUCUGCUUUUUUAUUUAUAUGUGACAAGACUUAGAAGUAUCUUUGAUUCAUGAGCAGAAACAGCAGAAAGAAGAUGAUAAAGAAUAACUCUGGUUAUAAAUUAAAGUUAAUAGACUUUUUUUUUCUUUUAAACCCACACCUUUUGUUAACAGAAUUUUUUCUGCAUUGUUACUGAUGCCUUCAUGCCUGAGAAGUUUUAUUUGCCUGUGUGCAAAUGGAGCAACUGUAUGAAAUUAAAGUAAAAUGCUGCUCUAACUUAGCUGUUAGGUUGCAAAGUUAGCACACUGAUUUUUUUCUUCUGGUACAUGUUCUUUUUAUAAAGGAACUUUAUCUUGUGGCUAUUGAUAUAUUGCAGAUGUAAAUUUUAUUAGACAGUAUAGGAAGAAAAUAAUAGAAUCUAUGAACAGGCAGUCACUAUCAGCAAAUUCUAUUAGCAAACAGAUAAAUUUCAAGCCAGCUUAUUGUUUUUUAGAGAGGUUUUGAUUAUUUCAGGAGACCAAAAUUGACUUAGGUAAGAUUAUCCUCAUCACUUAGAUUGAAAGAGAGUACUUUGCACUGACUAGAAAAGGAUGUAAAGUUUUACGUAUGUGUUUUUGUAUGUGUCCUGAUUCACAAGCAAAACAAUGAGCACUAGGCACAAUAAGAUGUAAAUAACCCUGUCAGGUCUUGGUGGCAAGUGUCAGUCUUCUCCUAGAGCUGGGUAGUGCACACACCCUCCACAGCACUAUUUAAUGUCACAGUCAAGACACCUCCAGAUGCCAGUAAAAUGUCAGGACGUCUUAGUCCUUUUAGGAAAACUAAUUUAUUGAACACUGCUGUAGGACAAUAUAUAGGAAAUAUAUGCCAGGAAAUAACUGGUACUGGAAACAGACAAAAGCAGUGAGAAAAGGUAAAGGAGGUGGAUGUUGACACAGGUUCCCGGUAUAGACUAGAUAGAUGAGAGUUAUAAACUGGAGGCAGUAUCACUAUCUCACCUGUGCUGCCACUGCAGCUAGUUAAUGAGGUAAUUUCAUAUAUUCUUUGAAUGCAAAACAGAAUAGAAGCAUUACUGUUGAAUUUUCUUUAAGGCUCAGGCACCUGCUCAGUGCUUUGUGCAUGCUGCUGCCAACAGUUUACAUUAUAGAAGUACCACUGUUUUGAUCAAUUGCUUGUUGUCCUAAUAAGGGUGCGUACAACCUCUGCUUUGCAAGAGUACUACAAAAUAAACAGUUUUUUGAAUCCAACAAAUCUCAGUUUUAAAAGCUUUUGUAAAUCAAUUUGGUUAUGUCAUAUAGUUUCAUUGGAAAAUGUGAAAACAACACUUGUUACAGUGAGCUAAGCUUGCAAAGGGCAGCAUGCUAUUAUUUUUACAGGCCAAUACUUUCCAUUUUCAGUUCCUGGGGCUCGCAAUUGGGUUUGAAUGACAAAUAUUUUGCACAUGACCGUGUAGGUGCAUAAGUGUUCAGCUACAGGCGUAGGGCCCCAGGGACACACACAGUCCUGCAGGGCUCUUGAAUGUCCCUGCAACCUUUGACUGAAGGCUUCAUUUGCCCAGUUCCAAGUUUCUGGUGCCUGACUGAGCCCUGAUACUGUGGUACUGGCCCCUAGUCCUGUUCCCGGUUAUUCACUGAGUUUCCUGAGUGGACUUUGGCCAUGACUUGUCACCUACCAGUUCUGCUUGCCUGCCACUAGGUCAGUGACAUCACCUGUGGGUGCAGGCAGCACCCAAACCUCACAACAAG
rnacentral:lncRNA from 1 species